rnacentral:rRNA from 1 species
GGGAGGCGUAGCGAAAGCGAGUCCGAAUAGGGCGUAUAGUUGCUGGGUGUAGACCCGAAACCAAGUGAUCUAUCCAUGGCCAGGUUGAAGGUGGGGUAAUACCUACUGGAGGACCGAACCCACUUAUGUUGAAAAAUGAGGGGAUGACUUGUGGUUAGGGGUGAAAGGCCAAUCAAACCAAGUAAUAGCUGGUUCUCCGCGAAAUCUAUUUAGGUAGAGCGUUGCGUAUUGCUGCGGGGGGUAGAGCACUGGAUGGGCUAGGGGGUCCCACAGACUUACCAAACCUAACCAAACUCCGAAUACCAGUAAGUAGAGCGCAGCAGACAGACUACGGGUGCUAAGGUCCGUGGUCGAAAGGGAAACAGCCCAGACCUCCAGCUAAGGUCCCAAAGGGCAUGUUAAG